ACAUUGGUAGUUCAAUAGUAGAAUUCUCGCCUCCCAUCCGGGAGACCUGGGUUCAAUUCCUAGUCAAUGCA
rnacentral:tRNA from 1 species